UAGAGUUUGAUCCUGGCUCAGGAUGAACGCUGGCGGUAUGCUUAACACAUGCAAGUCGAACGGAGUGCCUUCGGGUGCUUAGUGGCGGACGGGUGAGUAACGCGUGAGAAUCUGCCUUCAGGUCGGGGAUAACGACUGGAAACGGUCGCUAAUACCGGAUAUGCCGAGAGGUGAAAGCUUUAGUGCCUGAAGAGGAGCUCGCGUCUGAUUAGCUAGUUGGUGGGGUAACGGCUCACCAAGGCAGCGAUCAGUAGCUGGUCUGAGAGGAUGAUCAGCCACACUGGGACUGAGACACGGCCCAGACUCCUACGGGAGGCAGCAGUGGGGAAUUUUCCGCAAUGGGCGCAAGCCUGACGGAGCAAUACCGCGUGAGGGAGGACGGCUUUUGGGUUGUAAACCUCUUUUGUUUGGGAAGAAGCUCUGACGGUACCAAACGAAUCAGCAUCGGCUAACUCCGUGCCAGCAGCCGCGGUAAUACGGAGGAUGCAAGCGUUAUCCGGAUUUAUUGGGCGUAAAGCGUCCGCAGGUGGUUGGUCAAGUCUGCUGUCAAAGCGUGGGGCUUAACUCCAUACAGGCAGUGGAAACUGAUGAACUAGAGUCUGGUAGGGGUUGCGGGAAUUCCCAGUGUAGCGGUGAAAUGCGUAGAUAUUGGGAAGAACACCGGCGGCGAAAGCGCGCAACUGGGCCGGAACUGACACUGAGGGACGAAAGCUAGGGGAGCGAAAGGGAUUAGAUACCCCUGUAGUCCUAGCUGUAAACGAUGGGUACUAGGUGUUGCCCGUAUCGACCCGGGCAGUGCCGUAGCUAACGCGUUAAGUACCCCGCCUGGGGAGUACGCACGCAAGUGUGAAACUCAAAGGAUUGACGGGGGCCCGCACAAGCGGUGGAGUAUGUGGUUUAAUUCGAUGCAACGCGAAGAACCUUACCAGGGCUUGACAUGUCGCGAAUCCUCUUGAAAGGAGGAGUGCCUUCAGAGCGCGACACAGUGGUGCAUGACUGUCGUCAGCUCGUGUCGUGAGAUGUGGGUUAAGUCCCGCAACGAGCGCAACCCUCGUUUCUAGUU
rnacentral:rRNA from 1 species